CCUACGGGAGGCAGCAGUAGGGAAUCUUCGGCAAUGGACGGAAGUCUGACCGAGCAACGCCGCGUGAGUGAAGAAGGUUUUCGGAUCGUAAAGCUCUGUUGUAAGAGAAGAACGAGUGUGAGAGUGGAAAGUUCACACUGUGACGGUAUCUUACCAGAAAGGGACGGCUAAUUACGUGCCAGCAGCCGCGGUAAUACGUAGGUCCCGAGCGUUGUCCGGAUUUAUUGGGCGUAAAGCGAGCGCAGGCGGUUAGAUAAGUCUGAAGUUAAAGGCUGUGGCUUAACCAUAGUACGCUUUGGAAACUGUUUAACUUGAGUGCAAGAGGGGAGAGUGGAAUUCCAUGUGUAGCGGUGAAAUGCGUAGAUAUAUGGAGGAACACCGGUGGCGAAAGCGGCUCUCUGGCUUGUAACUGACGCUGAGGCUCGAAAGCGUGGGGAGCAAACAGGAUUAGAUACCCUAGUAGUC
rnacentral:rRNA from 1 species